ACUCCAUCCUCAUCUCUCCCCUUACCCACCCCCUAUCCACUCCUCAGAAAGGGUAAGGGAGUCAACAAAGUCUGGCAUAUCAAGUUGAUGCAGGACCAAGCCCCUCUCUUCUGUAUCAAGGCUGAGUACUAUAUCCCUCCAUAGGGAAUGGACUUCAAAAAGCCAGUUCAUGCACUAGAGAUACAGUGCCAGUGGCCACAAAGACUGCCCAAGCCACAGAACUGUCACCCACAUUCAGAGGUUCUAGUUCCGUUCUAUGCAGGUUCCCCAGAGUCAGUGAGCUCCCACUAGCUCGGGUCAGUUGUCUCUCUGGAUUUUUCCAUCAUGAUCUUGACCCCUUUGCUCAUGUAAUCCCCGUUCCCUCUCUUCCAUCAGUUACUGGAUGAAGGUGCUAUGAUGACAACCAGGUCAGUUACCAGUCUGAUUUAGGGAAGUACUCUUAUCACCAUUUUCCAGGUAGAGCUGCUGAGCCACAGAAAUUUAAACUCUCAAGAUUAUAUCUAAGGUUAUAGGAUUUGAACCCAGGAUUGCAAUCAUUAGCCGCAGUCUUCCUAGAGCCUCUAGUGACAGCAUUUGCAGUCAUGGUAUAGAAACAAAACAGGAUAGUCAAAAUCUUGUGACAGGUGAGCAGUUGCAGGUGACAGAAUGGCAUCUCUGACUUCCCGGAAUCCUCAUGUGUGUCCCCUUCCCGCUAUCCAGUGGCUUGACUGUGCCAUGUUCAUCAAUAGAGGCUGAGAAGGGUCUCUGUCUUCUCAUGCGUAAGAUGGACAAGAUUAGUGAAGUGUAGGCGGGCUUUGACUUCACUGUGUGACUGAGAAUGUCACUGAAUUUCUUCUGAUCCUUUUGCCUCGGCCUUCUGAGUAAUGGCAUGACAGAGCUCUACCUAGGCUCCUGGGGGCGGCUCAGCUUAUGAAGACGUUUUCGAUGCCAGCAACACGGACAUCUCCACCUACAGUUGUACUCACAUUAAGAGCCACACAGACUGAAAGCACCCAUGUUCCACAAGACAACCUCAUAUGCCGUGUCUCAGACUGAAAAUGGGGGUCCUGUGAUCUCCCACUAAUGGUCAUGCAAGGUACCUGAGGACACAAGCCCUCAGCAUGAGGAAGAAACAAUAUCAAGACAAUAAGCAACAUGCCAGGAAACACCCAGACAGCCACUGAAGGUCUGGGGUGAAGGAACAGAAAUAGGUUUCAGAAGAAAUAAUCAAUAGUUCAGAUCAGUAGUUAUCUACCUUCUUAAUACUGCCACCGUUCAAUACAGUUCCUCAUGCUGUGGUGGCAGACCCCAAGCUUAAAAUUAUUUUAGUUGCUCUUUCAUAACUAACUUUGCUACUAUUGUGAAUUGUAAUAUAAAUGUCUGAUAUGCA